CACGGGGGGAGCAAGCGUUGUUCGGAAUCACUGGGCGUAAAGGGCGUGUAGGCGGUCAAGUAAGUGGAAUGUGAAAUGCCCCGGCUCACCCGGGGACCUGCAUCCCAAACUGCUUGGCUUGAGUAUGGGAGAGGAUGAGGGAAUUCCUGGUGUAGCGGUGAAAUGCGUAGAUAUCAGGAGGAACACCGGUGGUGUAGACGGCUUUCUGGACCGUAACUGACGCUGAGACACGAAAGCGUGGGUAGCAAACAGG
rnacentral:rRNA from 1 species